UGGUGGAGUGAUUUGUCUGCUUAAUUGCGAUAACGAACGAGACCUUAACCUGCUAAAUAGCCAGGCAGCUUUGGCUGGUCGCCGGCUUCUUAGAGGGACUAUCGGCUCAAGCCGAUGGAAGUUUGAGGCAAUAACA
rnacentral:rRNA from 1 species